rnacentral:rRNA from 1 species
GACGAACGCUGGCGGCGUGCUUAACACAUGCAAGUCGAACGGAAAGGCCCUGCUUUUGUGGGGUGCUCGAGUGGCGAACGGGUGAGUAACACGUGAGUAACCUGCCCUUGACUUUGGGAUAACUUCAGGAAACUGGGGCUAAUACCGGAUAGGAGCUCCUGCUGCAUGGUGGGGGUUGGAAAGUUUCGGCGGUUGGGGAUGGACUCGCGGCUUAUCAGCUUGUUGGUGGGGUAGUGGCUUACCAAGGCAUUGACGGGUAGCCGGCCUGAGAGGGUGACCGGCCACAUUGGGACGGGGAUACGGCCCAGACUCCUACGGGAGGCAGCGGUGGGGAAUAUUGCACAAUGGGCGGAGGCCUGAUGCAGCAACGCCGCGUGGGGGAUGACGGCCUUCGGGUUGUAAACCGCUUUCGCCUGUGACGAGGCGUGAGUGACGGUAAUGGGUGAAGAAGCACCGGCUAACUACGUG